UUAAUAGACAGAAUUUUAAUGGA
rnacentral:snRNA from 1 species